rnacentral:rRNA from 1 species
UACGUAGGGUGCGAGCGUUAAUCGGAAUUACUGGGCGUAAAGCGUGCGCAGGCGGUUUGCUAAGUCAGGUGUGAAAUCCCCGGGCUUAACCUGGGAACUGCGCUUGUAACUGGCAAGCUAGAGUGUGGCAGAGGGGGGUGGAAUUCCACGUGUAGCAGUGAAAUGCGUAGAGAUGUGGAGGAACACCGAUGGCGAAGGCAGCCCCCUGGGCUAACACUGACGCUCAUGCACGAAAGCGUGGGGAGCAAACAGG